AGAGUUUGAUCCUGGCUCAGAACGAACGUUGGCGGCGUGGAUUAGGCAUGCAAGUCGAGGGAAUCCCAGCAAUGGGGGAACCGGCGUAAGGGGCAGUAAGGCAUGGGUACCUACCCUAGGGUUCGGAAUAGCCAUCAGAGAUGGUGGGUAAUACCGGAUGAUGUCGUGAGACCAAAGAUUUAUCGCCCUGGGAGGGGCCCAUGUGAUAUUAGCUAGUUGGUGAGGUAAUGGCUCACCAAGGCAAAGAUGUCUAGCGGGUGUGAGAGCACGACCCGCGCCACUCGCACUGAGACACUGGCGAGACACCUACGGGUGGCUGCAGUCGAGGAUCUUCGGCAAUGAGCGCAAGCUUGACCGAGCGACGCCGCGUGUGCGAUGAAGGCCUUCGGGUUGUAAA
rnacentral:rRNA from 1 species